rnacentral:rRNA from 1 species
GACGAACGCUGGCGGCGUGCUUAACACAUGCAAGUCGAACGGAAAGGCCCUGCUUGCAGGGUACUCUAGUGGCGAACGGGUGAGUAACACGUGGGUGAUCUGCCCUGCACUUCGGGAUAAGCCUGGGAAACUGGGUCUAAUACCGGAUAGGAGCCAUUUUUAGUGUUAUGGUUGGAUAGUUUUUUCGGUGUAGGAUGAGCUCGCGGCCUAUCAGCUUGUUGGUGGGGUAAUGGCCUACCAAGGCGGCGACGGGUAGCCGGCCUGGGAGGGUGGACGGCCACAUUGGGACUGAGAUAAGGCCCAGACUCCUACGGGAGGCAGCAGGGGGGAAUAUUGCACAAUGGGCGUAAGCCUGAUGCAGCGACGCCGCGGGGGGGAUGACGGCCUUCGGGUUGUAAACUCCUUUCGCUAGGGACGAAGCUUUUUGUGACGGUACCUAGAUAAGAAGCACCGGCUAACUACGUG